rnacentral:misc_RNA from 1 species
UUUCCGUAGGUGAACCUGCGGAAGGAUCAUUGUCGAAACCUGCCCAGCAGAACGACCCGCGAACUUGUAUAAACAACUGGGGGCGGGGGGCGUUCUCGCCCCGUGCCCCCGAACGGCGGGGAGACACUCGUGCCUUCUUGCCGAACAACGAACCCCGGCGCGGUCUGCGCCAAGGAACUUCAACUAAAGAGUGCCUCCGGUCGCCUCGGAAACGGCGUGCGUGCCGGAGGCGAAUCUUGUGCAAAACCAUAACGACUCUCGGCAACGGAUAUCUCGGCUCUCGCAUCGAUGAGAACGCAGC